rnacentral:misc_RNA from 1 species
GAUGAAGAACGUAGCGAAAUGCGAUAAGUAAUGUGAAUUGCAGAAUUCAGUGAAUCAUCGAAUCUUUGAACGCACAUUGCGCCCGCCAGUAUUCUGGCGGGCAUGCCUGUUCGAGCGUCAUUUCAACCAUCAAGCCCCCGGCUUGUGUUGGGGACCUGCGGCUGCCGCAGGCCCUGAAAACCAGUGGCGGGCUCGCUAGUCACUCCGAGCGUAGUAAUACAUCUCGCUCAGGGCGUGCUGCGGGUUCCGGCCGUUAAAAAGCCUUAUUUACCCAAGGUUGACCUCGGAUCAGGUAGGAAGACACGCUGAACUUAAGCAUAUCAAUAAGCGGAGGA